GACGAACGCUGGCGGCGUGCUUAACACAUGCAAGUCGAACGGAAAGGCCUCUUUCGGGGGGUACUCGAGUGGCGAACGGGUGAGUAACACGUGAGUAACCUGCCCUUGACUUUGGGAUAACUUCAGGGAACUGGGGCUAAUACCGGAUAGGAGCUCCUGCUGCAUGGUGGGGGUUGGAAAGUUUCGGCGGUUGGGGAUGGACUCGCGGCUUAUCAGCUUGUUGGUGGGGUAGUGGCUUACCAAGGCUUUGACGGGUAGCCGGCCUGCGAGGGUGACCGGCCACAUUGGGACUGAGAGACUGCCCAGACUCCUACGGGAGGAAGCAGUGGGGAAUAUUGCACAAUGGGUGGAAGCCUGAUGCAGCAACGCCGUGUGCGGGAUGACGGCCUUCGGGUUGUAAACCGCUUUCGCUCAUGACGAAGCUUUGUGUGACGGUAGUGGGUAAAGAAGCACCGGCUAACUACGUG
rnacentral:rRNA from 1 species